CUUCCUUAUAGACUGAAAUUCUGAAAUCCUUUUGUGCCUGGCCUUUCCAUCCUUCAACUUCCCCUCUCCCACACUGUGAAUGAUUUUAUUGGAUACUUUUGUUUUUUUCUCAGUGACAGGGGAACAUAUUUGGUGCUAAUGUAUCUGUGACCCAGAUGCUUCUUUUUCUAGUAUGCAUUUAUUUUUUAGCAAACAUUUAUAUCCAUCCUUUUUCACUGUCUUUUGAAAAUAACUAAGCAAUAUCUCAUCUGAGGUAGGCCGUCUCUAAUGGUUGUAUUCUGAGGGAGAAAAGCUAAUCUGUUCUCUUUCCUCUGCAUUCCAGGAACAGUAAGAAGAGCUUGUGCAUGAAUAAUUUGUUUCCACACUACAAAGUGGCAGAAGAAUCCCAAGCUUCUUAGAGAACCCAGUGACUUUUCACACCUUAAAUCUGUUAAAUCUUCAUGUUUUCUUCUGCCACAUGCAUAGUUCAAACAUACAAAGAUGAAGCAAAGUCAGACGCAUUCCUGAAGGAACCCAAGAAAUUCCUCUCUUUCUCUCUCUAGAACAAAAUGAAUUCUUUAGACCAUCAGUUCUAACCUUCAAAAACCAAACCUGUUUGUGAGAUCUCCUUUAAAUACUACUGUAGACCCCAGGGUUUAUUCAUUAAAUUUUUUAGAUAAUUGUUUUA